rnacentral:rRNA from 1 species
ACCUGGUUGAUCCUGCCAGUAGUCAUAUGCUUGUCUUAAAGAUUAAGUCAUGCAUGUCUAAGUAUAAGAAUUUAUAUUUUCGAAACUGUGAAUGGCUCAUUAAAUCAGUUAUAAUUUAUUUGAUGGUCUCUUCCACUUGGACACCAGUGGUAAAUCUAGUGCUAAUACAUGCAUAAAAUCUUGACCCAUUUGGGAAAAGAUGUAUUUAUUAGAUUCAAAAGCCAAUAUCUCUUUGGGGAUUUUUUAUAUGGUGAAUCAUGAUAACUUAACAAAUCGUAUGGUCUUGUACCAACAAUAGUUCAUUCAAAUAUCUGCCCUAUCAACUUUCAAUGGUAGUAUAGAGGACUACCAUGGUGGUAACAGGUAACGGAGAAUCAGGGUUUGAUUCUGGAGAAGGAGCCUGAGAAACGGCUACUACUUCCAAGGAAGGCAGCAGGCGUGCAAAUUACCCAAUCCCAACACAGGGAGGUAGUGACAAAAAAUAACAAUAUUGAUGUUUUUAAAACUUUGAUAAUUGGAAUGAGUACAAUCUAAAACCUUUAACAAGUAUCAAUUGGAGGGCAAGUCUGGUGCCAGCAGCCAUGGUAAUUCCAGCUCCAAUAGCAUAUAUUAAAGUUGUUGCAGUUAAAAAGCUUGUAGUUGGAUUUUGAAAUGUUAUAAAAUAACCCGCUUUUAUAAGUGUGUUUUGUUAUUUUAUAUCUUUCUCCUUACUAGUUUUUCACUAUUAUUCUUUAUUGAUUGAUAGUUUCAUCUCUUUUUUGGAGGCGAGUGAUGAUUAGACCUCUUGGGUUUAAGAUUGUGGAUGAUUAUUUCGAUGAUUAUUCUGCUUAGAUUCAAGAACUAAUUAUUAGAAAUCUAGUUCUUUUACUUUGAGUAAAUUAGAGUGUUCAAGGCAAGCAAAUUAUUAUUGUUGCAAUGAAUACUAUUAGCAUGGGAUAAUGGAACAGGACACGUAUUCUAGUUUUCUGUUGGUUUCUAGAAUUUUUUGACUCUUUCGGGAGUCAGUAGUGUAAUGAUUAAAAGGGACAGUUGGGGGCAUUCGUAUUUCAUUGUCAGAGGUGAAAUUCUUGGAUUUAUGAAAGACGAACUUCUGCGAAAGCAUUUGUCAAAGAUGUUUUCAUUAAUCAAGAAUGAAAGUUAGGGGAUCGAAGACGAUCAGAUACCAUCGUAGUCUUAACCAUAAACUAUGCUGACCAGGGAUUGGAAGAUGUAUUAUCUAGUGUAACAGCUAGAAAACUCCUUCAGUACCUUAUGAGAAAUCAUAAGUCUUUGGGUUCUGGGGGGAGUAUGGUCGCAAGGCUGAAACUUAAAGGAAUUGACGGAAGGGCACCACCAGGAGUGGAGCCUGUGGCUUAAUUUGACUCAACAUGGGAAAACUUACCAGGUCCAGACACAGUUAGGAUUGACAGAUUGAGAGCUCUUUCUUGAUUCUGUGGGUGGUGGUGCAUGGCCAUUCUUAGUUGGUGAAGUGAUUUGUCUGGUUAAUUCUGAUAAUGAAUGAGACCUCAGCCUACUAAUUAGUUAUGCAAAUGAUUACAUUCUUUAUGAAGAGGGUUUCUGUUAGAGCUUUGGGUUUGACUUGGAGAUAUAAUAGAAAAACUCGUUUUCAUUUGUUAGAGAUUUGAUGUUUCGACUGAUGAUUUCGAUAAUGACUUCUUAGAGGGACACUUGGUGUUUAACCAAGGGAAGUUUGAGGCAAUAACAGGUCUGUGAUGCCCUUUAGAUGUUCUGGGCUGCACGCGCGCUACACUGAUACGAUCAACGAGUACUGAAGACCUUGGCCCGAAAGGGUUGGGUAAACUUUUGAAAUCGUAUCAUGCUGGGGAUUGAUAAUUGCAAUUAUUUAUCAUGAACGAGGAAUUCCUAGUAAGCACAAGUCAACAGCUUGCGCUGAUUAUGUCCCUGCCCUUUGUACACACCACCCGUCGCUCCUACCAAUGUUUGGUCUGGUGAAAUCUUAGGAUUUGUGGCAUACACUUGUUUUUACUCUUUUGUGAAGAUAAGUUUGCUGUGGAUAAUUUGAGUAAACCUUGCCAAAUAGAGGAAGGAGAAGUCGUAACAAGGUAUCCGUAGGUGAACCAGCGGAAG